GGGUCGAUGGCGUAGCUGGUUAUCGCAUCUGUCUAACAUCAUGCAUUCAGCCUAAGCGGUGUUCACAGAAGGUCCUCAGUUCGAACCUGGGUCGACUCA